rnacentral:rRNA from 1 species
CAGUAGCCGCGGUAAUACGAAGGGUGCAAGCGUUAAUCGGAAUUACUGGGCGUAAAGCGUGCGUAGGCGGUUUGUUAAGUCUGUUGUGAAAUCCCCGGGCUCAACCUGGGAAUUGCAGUGGAUACUGGGUCACUAGAGUGUGGUAGAGGAUAGUGGAAUUUCCGGUGUAGCAGUGAAAUGCGUAGAGAUCGGAAGGAACAUCUGUGGCGAAGGCGACUAUCUGGGCCAACACUGACACUGAGGCACGAAAGCGUGGGGAGCAAACAGGAUUAGAGACCCCCGUAGUCCCUGUCUCUUAUAC